rnacentral:rRNA from 1 species
ACGCUCGACAGUGCCAGCCGCCGCGGUAAUACGGAGGAUCCGAGCGUUAUCCGGAUUUAUUGGGUUUAAAGGGAGCGUAGGCGGACGCUUAAGUCAGUUGUGAAAGUUUGCGGCUCAACCGUAAAAUUGCAGUUGAUACUGGGUGUCUUGAGUACAGUAGAGGCAGGCGGAAUUCGUGGUGUAGCGGUGAAAUGCUUAGAUAUCACGAAGAACUCCGAUUGCGAAGGCAGCCUGCUGGACUGUAACUGACGCUGAUGCUCGAAAGUGUGGGUAUCAAACAGGAUUAGAUACCCUGGUAGUCCACACAGUAAACGAUGAAUACUCGCUGUUUGCGAUAUACAGUAAGCGGCCAAGCGAAAGCGUUAAGUAUUCCACCUGGGGAGUACG